UCCCGAAUCUCACUCCUCCGACGACUCCAGAUCCCCCCGCCCGCCUCCACCCCGCGGCGGCGCCGGCGAGAUGCCGCCGUCGAGCCGCCCGAGGGAGCCGCUCUCCCUCGCGCUCCCGGGCGCCGCCGGCCGCUCGCAGGACUUCCCCUCGCUCUUCUCCGACCUCACCUCGCUCCUCCUCCACCACUCCCCCGCCGCCGCCGCCGCCGCCCCCCGCGGCCGCGCCCCGGUCUUCUCCUCCUCCACGCUCUCCAUCCCCGCCCCCGCGCCCCUCCCCGCCGCCCCGUCCCAGCCGCAGGCGCCGACGCCGCUGGAGCGGGCGGCCAUCGGGGCGUGCGCGGGGGCGGCGGCGGGGGCCUUCACCUACGCGGCGCUGCUGCCGCUCGACGCCGUCAAGACCCGUCUGCAGGCGGGGGCCGCCUCGCGGGGCUCCUGGCAGGUGUUCGCCGACAUCCUGCGCGCCGACGGGCCGCUCGGCCUCUACCGGGGCCUCUCCGCCGUCAUCCUCGGCUCCGCCACCUCCUCGGCCAUCUACUUCGGCACCUGCGAGCUCGCCAAGUCGCUGCUGCGCCCGCACCUGCCGCCCUUCCUCGUGCCGCCGCUCGCCGGCGCCAGCGGCAACAUCUCCUCCUCCGCCAUCAUGGUGCCCAAGGAGCUCAUCACGCAGCGCCUCCAGUCGGGCGCCGCCACGGGGAGGUCCUGGCAGGUGCUGCUCCAGAUCCUCCGGGCCGACGGCUUCUUCGGCCUCUACGCGGGCUACGCCGCCACGCUCCUCCGCAACCUCCCCGCCGGCGUGCUCAGCUACUCCUCCUUCGAGUACCUCAAGGCCUUCGCCCUCAGCAAGAGCAACGGCGCCAACCUGACGCCGGGGGAGAGCGUGCUGUGCGGCGCGCUUGCUGGUGCGAUAUCCGCGGGGCUCACCACCCUGCUCGACGUCGUCAAGACACGGCUGAUGACCAGGGUGGGUGCCCAGGGGAGCCGCACCGUGGUGGGCACAAUGCAGGAGGUCAUCGCCGAGGAAGGCCUGAUGGGCCUGUCCCGGGGGAUCGGGCCGAGGGUCCUGCACAGCGCAUGCUUCGCUGCCAUUGGCUACUGCGCCUUCGAGACGGCCAGGCUCAUGAUCCUCAAGUCAUACCUUGAAUCGUGCGAGAGGAAGGCCGCUGCCGAGACCAAGACCGGAGUUGCCGCUGCUUGAGUGUGUACGAUUCCUUCCCUUCUUUCAGGAAGGCACUUCUUGUAGGAGAAAUCUGUAGGAGGGCCAUCUGAGGAUGCGACGUACAAGCACCUGGAGCUAUGGAACUUUUGAUGCUUAGCAACCUGCAAGCAGGGGAAGAAAUUUCAUCAAGUUUCCAUUUUGGAAUUUGGUUCUUGUGAUGCAUCGGAGGACAGAAAGAAAGCUUGAUGCCAUCCCUGCAAAGUAUGGGAAUAGAUGGACUGCGAGUAAGGAUUACGAACAUAGAGAAGAAGCCACUUGGGGUCUACAAGAGAAGCAAGAUUAUAUGUAACAUUAUCUACAUACCCUUGCUGUUCCUGCAUGCUUGAUGUAGUCAGCAAUGGCAACCUGAAGAUCAUCUGCUUCCACCUCAUGUUCUUGGAAGGUUGGGGGGCCAACCCUUGAGCUGUUGAUUCCAUGUACGUUGAGUACGAUUUUCCUCAGCAAGUUUGUGGAGGCAUCCUAAAGAAGGGAGAGAAAAAUUCAGGAGUGAGGAUGAAAUGAAGGAAAUUCUGAUGCAACCAAAAGUAGAUGAGUGAUGAGUCUCAAAAGGUACUUACCGGAGAGCACAUGAGUGUUUCAUCUAAAACAUUGUAAGCGCGGAGGCAGUUUGGUGGAACAGGGAGAUUGCUCAUCACAAAUCCAUCCUGAAGAAUAUAUCCUUUAGCAGCAAUCUGGCUUCUUGUUUUUUCAGAGAUCUUCUCCAUUAUUUUCUGAACCUAAGAAACAGAAGAACAAAAUGGUGGCUAGUACUAGUACCUCUUCGGCGAAUAAACGACGGUAGUGAGAGCUGCCCUUCGUGUGAAAGCCAAAUUGAUCGAGGAAGCUCCAAAAUCCCUCUUCCAGUUCUUUCCUGGAUGGCACUCUCAGCUCCAAGCAGCAACCUUUGAACGAUUCAGUUAAGAUCUAUCUAGCAAUUGAUCCGGCUACCUUAUACAUAUGAAUGUGUAUAUUAUGCAGACCAACCCGGCCCUACUAAUGCAACUUAGAGGAGACUUGAACAGUUUGAUCUUCUUUGUCAGUUAUCACUUAAUUACCUGACAAUAUGAACAUGAGGUGAAGUUGCUCUCCUUUUCCACAUUUUUCUGUUUCUGUUGCAAAUUACAGAACUUCCAUGUUAAUUCUAGCCACUAAAUCACUCAUCGAAGUAUGCCUGGGGAGGAUUUAAUUUCUGCAUGUACCUUGGAGUUCUUGAACUGGAGGCAGCUGAAGCAGAUCAUGUUGAGUAUCUUCGUCAGCUCGGAGAUAUGGCUCGGGUGGUAGACGGAUACGGGCAGUUUGAUGAACCCGAAAUGACCUUGAGCCAGCCAUGAGAAGAUGAGUUUGUCAGAAUUUUAUUUGAAGAUGCAGUAUGUAUACAUAUGGGCACACUGUCUCUGAUUCAGUAUCUUAGGUAAAAAAUUGCAGAAGUUAACAUGGACAUGUAAAUUUCCAUAUAUUUCAGUAUGUAUACAACACUAUACUGAGCAGCCAGCUGAGCCAGGUGGAAAGAGAAGCUGUGACCAUGGCAAAGUUUUUGACUAUUUCCGGAAGCAUAGGAGAGCGCGAGAUAUCUCUCAGUUGAUUGAGGUAAAUGCUGCAGAGUUGAUUUUACCAAGAAUGUCUCUGACGAUGUAUAACACUCAAGUGAGUAGUCAUUUCAGCUGUGACUUGAAUAAUUGCUGCGACCAUAUCGUAUCCAUCUACUUGUGUUCCGACAAAGUGAUCUUACCUAAAUAACUACUUGUGUUCCAAUAAACUGAACUUUAGUUGAAUAUCGUUCAGUUUGGUUUUAUCUAGUUUCAGGAACCAGAACAAUUAUCUCAAAUUUGGUUCUGAACUUAUCACAGACUGAACUGUUCUUGCAUGGGUAACGCACGCUGAACUAGCUAGCUCACCAAAAAGUGAACUGUAGUUGAAUAUCGUUCAGUUAAUUUGGUUCUAUUUAGUUUCAGGAACCUGAAAAAUUAUCUCCAGUUCGGUUCUGAACUUGUCACACACUGAACUCUUUAUGCAGGAUUAUCACACAUUGAACUAGCUAGCUGACCAGAAAAAUUAGGUGCAUGUUUGUAGACGUGAAGUAGCACCCACUAUCCAUGUUAACUUAAAGAGAGAGAUACAACCUUGUUUGUAGAAAAUCUAAAAAAAGAUGAGAUGAAUCUCAUGGCACAGCCUUUGGUUCAUGUUCAUGUUGUUCAUAGAAACCAAAAGAAAAUAAAAAAAACACCAGUUUCAGUUAGAAAGUCUCUGGCAAUGCAGAAUCGUCAACCCCUAUGGUCCAGUAAACAGCCAGUUUAGUUUAUCUAGCUUCGAUUUGGUUUCUAACUUAUCGCGUACUGUUGAAAAUUUGAGCCGCAUGUUUGCAGACGUUCAGCGACACUUCCAUUCUUUUUUGCUCUUUGCAUGGAUUAGUUGAUGGGCUAACCAAGCAAGCUACUAUACGGAUUGCAGUUAGUAGCAGGUGAAACAGAUGGGAGAUGGUAGCGCGGGAUAUCUUCAACCGGUUUGGAUGACGGUCAUGUAAUAGGAUAGGUGAUUAGUUUACCUAUCUCUCUAUAUUAUGCCAGCCGGUUGUGGUGUCUGGGCCUUGUUUUAUUUCGCUAGCUCUUUGUGAGCCAGCCUCCUUUGUUGCAGCACAUUGCAAGACAUUGUUGAACCACUUUAUUUAUUUAUAAAUGUGGCCGCAUGCAUCACUCAGAUGCAGAGGCCGGGGAGUCCCCCUUUUCGAAAAAAGCAGGGGAAACAGAGAGAGCAAGUAAGCAGUGAGUCACCUUGG